rnacentral:rRNA from 1 species
GACGAACGCUGGCGGCGUGCCUAAUACAUGCAAGUUGAGCGCUGAAGGUUGGUACUUGUACCAACUGGAUGAGCAGCGAACGGGUGAGUAACGCGUGGGGAAUCUGCCUUUGAGCGGGGGACAACAUUUGGAAACGAAUGCUAAUACCGCAUAAAAACUUUAAACACAAGUUUUAAGUUUGAAAGAUGCAAUUGCAUCACUCAAAGAUGAUCCCGCGUUGUAUUAGCUAGUUGGUGAGGUAAAGGCUCACCAAGGCGAUGAUACAUAGCCGACCUGAGAGGGUGAUCGGCCACGUUGGGACUGAGACACGGCCCAAACCCCUACGGGAGGCAGCAGUAGGGAAUCUUCGGCAAUGGACGAAAGUCUGACCGAGCAACGCCGCGUGAGUGAAGAAGGUUUUCGGAUCGUAAAAAUCUGUUGGUAGAGAAGAACGUUGGUGAGAGUGGAAAGCUCAUCAAGUGACGGUAACUACACAGAAAGGGACGGCUAACUACGUG